GCCAGGAUAGCUCAGUUGGUUAGAACAUGGUGCCGAUAACGCCAGGGUUGCAGGUUCAUUCCCUGUAUGGGACA
rnacentral:tRNA from 1 species